rnacentral:rRNA from 2 species
UACGGAGGAUGCAAGCGUUAUCCGGAUUCAUUGGGUUUAAAGGGUGCGUAGGCGGACUAUUAAGUCAGUGGUGAAAUCCUGCAGCUUAACUGCAGAACUGCCAUUGAUACUGAUAGUCUUGAGUUUGGUUAAGGUAGGCGGAAUGUGUAAUGUAGCGGUGAAAUGCUUAGAUAUUACACAGAACACCAAUUGCGUAGGCAGCUUACUGAGCCGACACUGACGCUGAGGCACGAAAGCGUGGGGAUCGAACAGG